AGAUCCCAUAUGUUUUUCUAUGUAUGUUUUGUUCUCUUUCUCAAGAAUUUUGUGUUUUCAGACUUGAUUUGGUUUAAUCCAUGUUGUUCUUGCUGUUUUCGUUGUUCUUUUGGAUCUUGAUUAUGUUUUAUAGUUAUGGAGUUCUGUUCAGGAUUGCUCUUGCUCUAAAUCUAUUAAGAAUAUAUAUUUUUUUUUAUGAUCUGAAUUUUGUUGAUUUUUGAGGUUAAUUAAGUUUUCUUAGAGUUUAAUGGAGAACAAGAACUUUGUGAUUAGCUCAUGAGUUUUGAUCCAUAGUUUCUUGUGCAUAUAAGUUUUGUUUCAUGGUUAAAAUUCGUGGGAAGCAAUGUGUUGCUAUGUCUACGCGUUCUUAGAACAAGUUAUCCUUUGGUUCUAUCAAUUUAUAUCACCUUUGAGCUUUCUGGAGCUCUUUUGUCUGCCUUUUCAAAGUGCCUUGAGAUUGUUUGGCCUUUUCAAUUUGUUGCUAGACAUUCAUCAUACUUCCCG
rnacentral:misc_RNA from 1 species